rnacentral:rRNA from 1 species
GCCUAGAUGAAUUUGGUGCUUGCACCAGAUGAAACUAGAUACAAGCGAGCGGCGGACGGGUGAGUAACACGUGGGUAACCUGCCCAAGAGACUGGGAUAACACCUGGAAACAGAUGCUAAUACCGGAUAACAACACUAGACGCAUGUCUAGAGUUUAAAAGAUGGUUCUGCUAUCACUCUUGGAUGGACCUGCGGUGCAUUAGCUAGUUGGUAAGGUAACGGCUUACCAAGGCAAUGAUGCAUAGCCGAGUUGAGAGACUGAUCGGCCACAUUGGGACUGAGACACGGCCCAAACUCCUACGGGAGGCAGCAGUAGGGAAUCUUCCACAAUGGACGCAAGUCUGAUGGAGCAACGCCGCGUGAGUGAAGAAGGGUUUCGGCUCGUAAAGCUCUGUUGGUAGUGAAGAAAGAUAGAGGUAGUAACUGGCCUUUAUUUGACGGUAAUUACUUAGAAAGUCACGGCUAACUACGUGCCAGCAGCCGCGGUAAUACGUAGGUGGCAAGCGUUGUCCGGAUUUAUUGGGCGUAAAGCGAGUGCAGGCGGUUCAAUAAGUCUGAUGUGAAAGCCUUCGGCUCAACCGGAGAAUUGCAUCAGAAACUGUUGAACUUGAGUGCAGAAGAGGAGAGUGGAACUCCAUGUGUAGCGGUGGAAUGCGUAGAUAUAUGGA